rnacentral:rRNA from 1 species
CAUGCAAGUCGAGCGGUAACAGAAAGUAGCUUGCUACUUUGCUGACGAGCGGCGGACGGGUGAGUAAUGCUUGGGAACAUGACUUGAGGUGGGGGACAGCAGUUGGAAUAGACUGCUAAUACCGCAUAAUGUCUACGGACCAAAGAGGGCUUCGGCUCUCGCCUUUAGAUUGGCCCAAGUGGGAUUAGCUAGUUGGUGAGGUAAUGGCUCACCAAGGCAACGAUCCCUAGCUGGUUUGAGAGGAUGAUCAGCCACACUGGGACUGAGACACGGCCCAGACUCCUACGGGAGGCAGCAGUGGGGAAUAUUGCACAAUGGGCGCAAGCCUGAUGCAGCCAUGCCGCGUGUGUGAAGAAGGCCUUCGGGUUGUAAAGCACUUUCAGUCAGGAGGAAAGGUUAGUAGUUAAUACCUGCUAGCUGUGACGUUACUGACAGAAGAAGCACCGGCUAACUCCGUGCCAGCAGCCGCGGUAAUACGGAGGGUGCGAGCGUUAAUCGGAAUUACUGGGCGUAAAGCGUACGCAGGCGGUUUGUUAAGCGAGAUGUGAAAGCCCCGGGCUCAACCUGGGAACUGCAUUUCGAACUGGCAAACUAGAGUGUGAUAGAGGGUGGUAGAAUUUCAGGUGUAGCUGUG